UACGUAGGGGGCAAGCGUUGUCCGGAAUUACUGGGCGUAAAGCGUGCGCAGGCGGUUAUAUAAGACAGUUGUGAAAUCCCGGGGCUCAACCUCGGAACUGCCUUUGAUACUGGGGAUCUCGAGUCCGGGAGAGGUGAGUGGAAUUGCGAGUGUAGAGGUGAAAUUCGUAGAUAUUCGCAAGAACACCAGUGGCGAAGGCGGCUCACUGGCCCGGUACUGACGCUGAGGUGCGAAAGCGUGGGGAGCAAACAGG
rnacentral:rRNA from 1 species